UUUGUUUUUUUUUUGUUUUUUUUGUUUUUGUUUUCUCUCAUACGCUCCUCUCUACUCUCAUCCUCUCCACCGGCACUUCCACACCACCACCACCACCAUUUCCACCAUCAUUUUCCGGCAAGAUCACCGGAAAUUCUUGGGAACCCAUAAACACCUUCACAUCCUUUUUUUGUGGUUCUAGCUAAUCUCCUUGGAGCUUAGAGAAUUAGGAUUUUGCGGUUGCGAGUGAUCACCUGAUUUAGUUUUCGUAGUCUUUGUGACAAUGGAAUCAAAUCUAGGUCAGUACCCUUUUACUUUGGAUGACGUGUUCUUCCUUGCUGCCUAUGGGGGGAAGAGGUUCCUUGAUUGUGUGUGGGUGAGGCUACUGUCCAUGGGGCCAAGAGACCACAUGCAAGAGAGGUCCUAUUUCACGUGCUCUCUCUACUACUCAUGGGAGGAGAGAAAAACCUUGAGGGUAUGGGUGAGGCUGCUAUCUAUGGGGCCAAGAGUCUGCAUACCAGAAAGGACAAUAUCAUGCCAGUUGUGAAUGGUUGAAUCCCCUGACCGGUCUAUGUGUUAGUGUGGUAGAUUUGUGAUAAUUUAUCUUAUGUUAGAUAUUAUGGUUUUGGAAAUUAUAUUGUUGAUGCUCACAAAUUAUAGUAUAUAGUUUCAAGGUAUUUACUUUGAGAAA